AUUGCUUCUCGGCCUUUUAGCUAAGAUCAAGUGUAGUAUCUGUUCUUAUCAUUUUAAUAUCUGAUAUGUCCUCUAUCUAAGGACAUUAUAUUAACUGGGUUUUUAUCAGCUGGGAGAUGGAAUAGGAGCUUGCUCUGUCCACUCCAUGCACAUAGACCUGGUUUUGAAGUACUUAGUGCACCACCC